GAUGAACGCUGGCGGCGUGCUUAACACAUGCCAGUCGAACGGAAAGGCUCCUGCUUGCAGGGGUACUCGAGUGGCGAACGGGUGAGUAACACGUGGGUGAUCUGCCCAGCACUUCGGGAUAAGCCUGGGAAACUGGGUCUAAUACCGGAUAGGACGAUGGUUUGGAUGCCAUUGUGGAAAGUUUUUUCGGUGUGGGAUGAGCUCGCGGCCUAUCAGCUUGUUGGUGGGGUAAUGGCCUACCAAGGCGUCGACGGGUAGCCGGCCUGAGAGGGUGUACGGCCACAUUGGGACUGAGAUACGGCCCAGACUCCUACGGGAGGCAGCAGUGGGGAAUAUUGCACAAUGGGCGCAAGCCUGAUGCAGCGACGCCGCGUGGGGGAUGACGGCCUUCGGGUUGUAAACUCCUUUCGCUAGGGACGAAGCGCAAGUGACGGUACCUGGAGAAGAAGCACCGGCUAACUACGUG
rnacentral:rRNA from 1 species